rnacentral:tRNA from 1 species
GCCUGGGUGGCUCAGUCGGUUAAGCGUCCGACUUCGGCUCGGGUCAUGAUCUCGCGGUCCGUGGGUUCAAGCCCCGCGUCUGGCU